rnacentral:lncRNA from 1 species
ACCUAUUGUAUAACACAGGGAACUCCACUCACUACUCUGGGAUAAACUAUAUGAGAAAAGAAUCUGAGAAAGAAUGAUUAUAUGUAUAUGUGUAAUGGAAUCGCUUUGCUGUACACCUGAAACUAACACACUGUAAAUCAACUAUGUGCCAGUAAAAGUUUUAAAAAUUAAAAAAAAAAGUAAAUAAAAUAUCUUUAAACAUAAGCCUUACAGGCUCAAUACUAACUUUCCACUCUCUUUCCUUCAGAGUCUCCUUGAAGGAUGGGGCUGAGUGUGCAGGGGUGUGUGUUAAGUGGCCUUCCUUCCCCUUGGACUUCUCAGUAUUGAGCAGGGACUUCCUUGUUCCUCCCCCUGGCACCUCCUACUUCCACCGCCCAGCCCUUCAGGGACCAGCCUACCAGGCCCCAAGCUUAGAGGGAUGAGCCGGGAGACUACACCCUGGAAACAGGAACCUUCAGAAACCUCUCACCUCACGGAGGGUGGACUCAGAUCUCACAGCCUGUCUGGCAAGAGGGCACCGUCACUCAUGUGUCCGUUUAGCCAGCAGGAAUGUCUCGAGGGCCCGCCUCAAGACAAGGUACAGGUGCUAGGCCAGCUGCAGGCACAGAGACGCGCGGCUCAGCGGUGUCCUCCAUCCGGCCCGUCUGCCCAGGUGUGCGGUCAUGAGGCCGCGCAGGUGACGUGCACACGUGCAGCCCUUAGGACUGAAUAUUCAAAUCUGUGUGAAUUCCAGUGCUAAGAGGAACUGCUCAGCCCUCUCUUUCUGCGUGCUCCCUCAGCCUCCAACCUCGGCCACCUGCGCCUUCGUGAAGAUGUCUCAGCAAGUAGUCGGUGGUCACUCUGGUGAACAGGAACUCAAAGUUUGCAGGAGCUACUGGAAGCAUUCCCAGUGCCAGAGGCCAGUUACCCCAUGCCACGUAGGCUUCCUCUACCGUUGUUCAUUCUUAUAUAUAAAAUUUUCUUCUUUCAGUAAAAGCUCCAGAGUUGUAACCUGAGAUUACAACACUGAUUCUGUGUUCAUGUGUCCUUUUCAAAGCCUGGGGGUUGGCAGAUCAACAUGAAAUCAAAAUAACAACAGUGACGAUUGUAUUUGCAGAGACCCUAGUUCCAAGCAAGUUCACCUUCACGGGUUCUAGGUGGGCAUACAUUUUGUGGGGACUCUAUGCACCAGUGUUGAAUGCGCUUCUCACUGUGACACAGGGGUACUUAGUCCCAUAGGACACAGGUGCUGGCCUGCGCCAGGCCCCUGGCUGGGCAUGGAGCCAUCCAGUACACAGGAGACAAGCACAGCCAUCAGAAAGCAGCACACGCACUCCUCGGCGAUCCCAAGGGGAAGUGAGGCAAGCCACACAGACACCUGAAAGAGAAGUGCCCCAAAUAGCACUUUCUUAAAAUAAAAACUCCAGACGGGAGGUUUUUAUUGCA